AGAAAACAGAGUAAAGAAGAGACACAUCAGAUGCAGAAAUAUGAAAGAAAAGCUUUAUUGGAAGAUUGAGAAACACUGCAGCAUCAGAGGCGUGAGAUGAUCAGAGAAAGGUUUAUAUAACAGACCAUCAUACACAUCUAACAUCCUUCAGCCAAAACCCUGAGGACUCCCACACACACCACUGAUCUAGAAUAGAGAACUGGACAGCUCAUGAAACAUCACCUAAUAUUAUCAGUCAGGCAUCUCUUCUUACUCUUGACCCCUGAGAUCAGUCAAAUCUGCCUCCAGCAGCUCCUGUAGAUGCAGGGUUGCAAAAUCCACACUUUUUCCAUUGAAUUGGGCUGCUUUUGAAACGUUGU